rnacentral:misc_RNA from 1 species
AAAAGCAUGCAUCACUAACAAUUACUCAUUUUAGAAAAUUUUUCCAUUAAGUUGAUUAGCACAAAAAAGCAUAUUCUGUAGCUUUACUCAACUCGGAAUGGCAUUAAUUCAGCUCAUUCAAACCUUAAAUCAUCAUUCACUAGCUAGAUUUAUUAAAUUUUCAUAUCAGACAAUGAGAAAUGAAAUCCCAUUCAGCCUUUUUUAAAACUUACUCAACUGAGUUUAUCAAGACUAUAACAGUCUCAUCAGUAGCCAAUUUGUAUUUAUCUACAGCCAAAAUUUUCACAUACGCUCCAAGUGAAAAAUCAGCCUGCUAUCUCAAGUGUUAUUUGGACCUAUGCUUUU